CGCGGUAAUACGGAGGAUGCAAGCGUUAUCCGGAAUCAUUGGGUUUAAAGGGUCCGUAGGUUNCCAAAUAAGUCAGUGGUGAAAGCCCAUCGCUCCACGAUGGAACGGCCAUUGAUACUGUUUGGCUUGAAUUAUUAGGAAGUAACUAGAAUAUGUAGUGUAGCGGUGAAAUGCUUAGAGAUUACAUGGAAUACCAAUUGCGAAGGCAGGUUACUACUAAUAUAUUGACGCUGAUGGACGAAAGCGUGGGGAGCGAACAGGAUUAGAUACCCUGGUAGUCCAAGGG
rnacentral:rRNA from 1 species